rnacentral:rRNA from 1 species
GACGAACGCUGGCGGCGUGCUUAACACAUGCAAGUCGAACGGAGAGGCCCUGCUUUUGUGGGGUGCUCGAGUGGCGAACGGGUGAGUAACACGCGAGUAACCUGCCCUUGACUUUGGGAUAACUUCAGGAAACUGGGGCUAAUACCGGAUAGGAGCUCCUGCUGCAUGGUGGGGGUUGGAAAGUUUCGGCGGUUGGGGAUGGACUCGCGGCUUAUCAGCUUGUUGGUGGGGUAGUGGCUUACCAAGGCUUUGACGGGUAGCCGGCCUGAGAGGGUGACCGGCCACAUUGGGACUGAGAUACGGCCCAGACUCCUACGGGAGGCAGCAGUGGGGAAUAUUGCACAAUGGGCGGAAGCCUGAUGCAGCAACGCCGCGUGCGGGAUGACGGCCUUCGGGUUGUAAACCGCUUUCGCCUGUGACGAAGCGUGAGUGACGGUAAUGGGUAAAGAAGCACCGGCUAACUACGUG